rnacentral:lncRNA from 1 species
ACCUCUUGAAGUUUAUUUCUUCUUUACUCCUUUUUUUUUGAUUAACGUGGGUGUCCGGGUCAGCUUAAGCGUAUUUCGACUAAUCCUACACGUCCUGAAAGUUAACGACUAUGUAAGCCUUUAGUGACUAUCAUAUUAGCAACCAUAGGAUUUGAAUUUGAAACCACAGGAGGAGCAAACCCCUUGGUUCCAAACUCUUAUCACUAGGUCACCUACUAGAUAGUUAUUUGUUGCUUACUCUUUUUUUUUUGGUAACCCGAGGUGUCCGGGUCAGCUUACUCGCACCACGACUAAUCCCCGGACUCACUGAACAUCCUGCAAGCCCAAUGAGCAGGUAAGGCACCGCGGGGAUGACAGGCGUGCACAAGCAAGACUUGAACCCUGGUGCAGAGGAAGGACACAAGGCCCUUCCACCGCU